rnacentral:rRNA from 1 species
UACAGAGGGUGCGAGCGUUGUCCGGAAUCACUGGGCGUAAAGGGCGCGUAGGCGGCCUGAUAAGUAGGGGGUGAAAUCCUGUGGCUUAACUGCGGGGCUGCCUCCUAGACUGUUAGGCUCGAGCACGGUAGAGGCAGAUGGAAUUCCUGGUGUAGCGGUGAAAUGCGCAGAUAUCAGGAGGAACACCGGUGGCGAAGGCGGUUCUCUGGGCCUUACCUGACGCUGAGGAGCGAAAGCGUGGGGAGCGAACAGG